rnacentral:rRNA from 1 species
AGUGAACGCUGGCGGUAGGCCUAACACAUGCAAGUCGAACGGCAGCACAGGAGAGCUUGCUCUCUGGGUGGCGAGUGGCGGACGGGUGAGGAAUACAUCGGAAUCUACUCUGUCGUGGGGGAUAACGUCGGGAAACUUACGCUAAUAACGCAUACGACCUACGGGUGAAAGCAGGGGAUCUUCGGACCUUGCGCGAAUGAAUGAGCCGAUGUCGGAUUAGCUAGUUGGCGGGGUAAAGGCCCACCAAGGCGACGAUCCGUAGCUGGUCUGAGAGGAUGAUCAGCCACACUGGAACUGAGACACGGUCCAGACUCCUACGGGAGGCAGCAGUGGGGAAUAUUGGACAAUGGGCGCAAGCCUGAUCCAGCCAUACCGCGUGGGUGAAGAAGGCCUUCGGGUUGUAAAGCCCUUUUGUUGGGAAAGAAAUCCAGCUGGCUAAUACCCGGUUGGGAUGACGGUACCCAAAGAAUAAGCACCGGCUAACUUCGUGCCAGCCGCCGCCGUAA